rnacentral:tRNA from 1 species
GGUCUCAUAGUGUAGCGGUUAACACGCCUGCCUGUCACGCAGGAGAUCGCGGGUUCGAUUCCCGUCGAGACCGCCA